AGUUAAAGGCUGUGGCUCAACCAUGGUUCGCUUUGGAAACUGUCAAACUUGAGUGCAGAAGGGGAGAGUGGAAUUCCAUGUGUAGCGGUGAAAUGCGUAGAUAUAUGGAGGAACACCGGUGGCGAAAGCGGCUCUCUGGUCUGUAACUGACGCUGAGGCUCGAAAGCGUGGGGAGCGAACAGGAUUAGAUACCCUGGUAGUCCACGCCGUAAACGAUGAGUGCUAGGUGUUGGAUCCUUUCCGGGAUUCAGUGCCGCAGCUAACGCAUUAAGCACUCCGCCUGGGGAGUACGACCGCAAGGUUGAAACUCAAAGGAAUUAACGGGGGCCCGCACAAGCGGUGGAGCAUGUGGUUUAAUU
rnacentral:rRNA from 1 species